AUAAGCAGCCACGAGGAAAUGGCGGAGCUCUGCGUUUGCUUCUCCUUAUGCAGACUGCAAAUGAGGAAGCAGGUGGAGAAAGAAAAAUAAGCAGAGGCGACUGAGAAAGAGCGGUCAGAAGGUAGGGGGAGACCCUGGAAGAGCAGCAGCAAAGAAGUUGAGAAAAGAAAGUUCCAGAAGAGGGCAGUGCCCCACCUAUGCAGUGCUGAGGGGCUUGGCUGUGCAUAUCUUAAAGGAAGGUGUUAUACUGUCCUGUACUUUGCAGCCUCCUUUCCACCAGAUGUGACCACUGGUCCUGCUGGUUACUCCUGUGGGCCCUGAGAAAGACAUCUACUGUCUCUGAGAUUCAAUUACCUUCUCAAUCGCAACAAGAAGAACACUUCAAGACUGUUGGGUGGAUUAUGAGAAUACAUCGUAAGUGCUUCAUAAAUGUCUGUGGUGUUAAUGCCAUUGGGGGAGUGCAUGAAGACUGACCUCCAUGGUGGCCAUGUGUGGUCAAAGGCUGAGUCUUCGCCUUAGAAUCCUUCCAGACUAAAACACAGUCCUGUGUCCUGAAGAAGCUGACAUAGUUUUCCUCUUUAGGAAAAGUGAAGCAUCAUUAAAUUAUAUUCUUAACAAUAGAGAAUCUGAGCAAUAAUGAUGUAGCUAGAGAACAACAAUCUUACCAAAUCAGAUUCAACAUAAAACUAACCAUUGAUACUCUGCUACAAACUACCAGCUCCACGAACCAGUAAAAUGCAAAAUUCGUGGCCACUGCAUGAGAAAAUCAGCAACAGGAGUGCUAGUCUUGUCAGUACAUUCCAAAAUAAAACAAUAUUAACUUUAGAAAUGCAAGAGCUCUCUGAACAUAAAUUCACUUUUUAAUAACUUUGCAUGUUCAUGGAUACAAAACAAGAGCUGACAUUGUUUUAAUAUCAAAGCUUAAAUUUCAGUGCUAUGAAAUAUAUCUAAUCCCAAGCUGUAAAUGCAAUCUUAAAGAAUAAGAAAGAUACAGCUAAUUUAGAGUAGAACAGAUUCCUGGAAUAAUUGUUCUUGGAAAAAGACCAAGAAAUAGUUGACACUUCCCCCAAAUCACAUUAUUUUAAUUCUGUACAUUGUUUUUUUUACAAAAGUACCCUAAACAAUUGCAUAGUUGUCUCAGACAAAUUUAGAAACCAUAUAAAGUAUGUUAAAUUAUUUUUUACAAGGGAAAAAUGUGAUAAACAGACUUGGAGGGAGGAAGGAAGGAAAAAAUAAUGACAGAACAAAAGGAAACCAGAAAUCCAAAAUGAGUCCAGCCAACAGGGUAUUGUUUCUAAAAGAAAAUUAUCUAAAAUCUGAACUACCAGAAAUGAGAAGAGAAAAAUCUGAAUUUUCAUUAUUUGUCUCUUUUUCACCAUUAACUGUGCUGAUUCUGUCUAGGAUUACCAUCCAGCAGAAGAAACUGUAAACAAAUCCAAUCUUUCCAAUAUGCUAAAUAAUGAACUUCAUAACGUGCCCACAAUGAUGGGUCUUGUCUUCCUGGAAAUUGCUAAUCUACUUAAUUUUUCCAACUAAGGAACAUUGGCUGUGGUUUUGAAAGGUUACUGAGAAAGGGGUUUUAAAAGGUGAUACAAAGCAAGCAAAAUCUUGAUGCUAUUAUUCACGGAAAAUGAAUGACAUUUAAAAUGUUUUAAACUUUUAAGUGAUGGAAGCCAUUUAAAGGCUUUGUCCAUCCUUCACUUUCAUAAAAGGGCCAUGGAUUCCCCACGAUGGAUCAUGUUUGUUCUUGGGCAAUGGGUGGGGGUUCAUGGUUGUGGUCCACAGCAUCUCUACCUGCAGAAUAAAAGCAAAGUUGUUUCCCUGAUAACCACACCCCACAUUCAUCCAUUGGCAAAUCGUGUCACUGUCAAAAUGCUCCUAAUUCCAGUUACUUCCCAUCUCUUCCAUCAUGAACCCUGGUCCAAGUCCACCUGCAUCUUUCAAAUGAAAUCUUGUGAUGGCUUCUGUAAUUUCUCAUUUCCUCUCCUGCCCCCUUACAUCCCACUCUCUACACAGCAGCUACAGUAAUCUUUUAAAAAUGACUUCCAGUUAUACUAAGAACAAAACCUAAUGUCCCCACCAUGGUCUAUAAGGCCCUAUCUGAUCUGGCCCCUAGCUCUCUCCCUGGCAUCCUCUUCCUCCCACUCACCCUGUUGUUCUCCACUGCACUCCAGUGACAUUGAUCUUCUUCCCAUGCCUCAAACAUGCAAAGUUCAUCCCCACCUCAAGGCCUUUGCACUAGCUGUUCCCUCUCCCUGGAAUGCUUUUCCCUCAGAUAGGCAAAUCUCAAUCCCUUCUUUCAGAUUUCUCCUCAGUGUUACCUCUUCAAAGAUGCCUUCCCUGACUAACUCAGCUAAAACAGCCUCAUCUCCCCAAGUCAUGGUCUACUGCCUCACCCUUCUUAAUUUUCUUCUAUCAGUCAUAAUAAUCUGAUAUUAUGUUAUACAUAUAUUUGUAGACUUCCUCAUUGUCAGGCAUCCCUACCAGAACAUAAUCCCCUUGAAGGCAGGGAUUUUGUCUCAUUCAUGGCUAAAUUAUUUAGCACCUAGAAUAUUCCUCAGUCCUCAGCAAAUAUUCACUGAAUGAAUGAAUGAAUGAAUCAAUAAAUCGAUUUGUCUCCUGUGAGCUGAAGACCUAAGAGUUAUACAAUUCAAACACAUCCCUACUUCUUCAAGUGAAAUAUUUUAGAUCAUUAUGAAAAGCAGGUGGUUGUCUAUAUGUGUAGGGUGAUCCAAGUAGCAAAAGCUUGCUCAUCCUGUGACAUGGAGCACCAUCGUCAUGUUGCCGUCAUCCCAGGAGCAUCCCUUGUAAAGAAGUCCAUGGGGAAUGGCAGGAACGAAACCCUUUUGGUGAGGCAGGUUCUGGACUGAUGGUCUUAAACCAAAUGCUAUUUGCUAUGGAGUGAAUGAGUUCCCCAAAAUUCAUAUUUAUGUUGAAACCCUAACUUCCAACGGGAUGAUAUCAGGGUGGGGGGCUUUGAGAGAUGACACACGUUAAAUGAGAUCAUGAGUGUGGGGCCCCAUGAUGGAAUUAGUGUCCUUAGAAGAAGAGGAAGAGCCUGGGGCUGGCUCCCUCAACCACAAGAGGACACAAGGAGAAGGCGCCACCAGCAAACCAGGAAGCCACCCUCACAAGAUACCUCAUCUGUUGGACUCUUGAUCUUGGACUUUCCAGCCUCCAGAACUUCAAGAAGUCUGCUGUUUAAGCCACCCAAUCUAGGGUAUUUUGCCAGCCUAAACAGACUAAAACACAGCUCCAUAGCAAAGGAUGAAACAGUAGUGCCUACACACCAAAAGUGUUGCCUGAUCCCCAGUGGAAGUUUAGCUACAGAGUUUUAUGAACUACAGGGGGCAAAUGGGAUUAAAACUGAUUAAUGCUGAUUAAAACUUA